rnacentral:misc_RNA from 1 species
GAUGAAGAACGUAGCGAAAUGCGAUAAGUAAUGUGAAUUGCAGAAUUCAGUGAAUCAUCGAAUCUUUGAACGCACAUUGCGCCCGGCAGUAAUCUGCCGGGCAUGCCUGUCCGAGCGUCAUUUCACCCCUCGAGCCGCUUUUAGUGGAUCGGUGUUGGGGCACUACGGUAAAACGUAGGCCCUGAAAUGAAGUGGCGGUCCCGCCGCGGUGCCCCCAUGCGUAGUAACGUUUAGUCUCGCAUCGGGUCCCGGCGGAGGCCUGCCGUCAAGCCUAUUUACUCUCAGAAUAGUUUGACCUCGGAUCAGGUAGGGUUACCCGCUGAACUUAAGCAUAUCAAUAAGCGGAGGA